GUCACCCGGUUUAGAACUUCGACAGGUUUUCUCUAUGUGAAUGGGUGUGCCGAAUGUGUAACUCUUGUUCAAUGAAAAUGUGAAAAAGAAUUAAGGUUAAUUACUCCAACUCUUAAUUAAACGUGAAAUAUAGAUUAAUCGGUAAGUUGAAAUUAACAUAAAACACGUGUCUAAUCAACAGGUAAAGGAUGCUGUUUUAAUUUAUUGUCAUAUUUGACAGGUGAGUCGGCCAUGACAUGCAUACAUGUAUU
rnacentral:lncRNA from 1 species